rnacentral:rRNA from 1 species
GAUAAACGCUGGCGGCGUGCAUAACACAUGCAAGUCGAACGAUGAAACUUAGAUGAUUUCUUCGGAAUGAACUUAAGUGGAUUAGUGGCGAACGGGUGAGUAACACGUGAGUAACCUGCCUUACACAAGGGGAUAGCCUCUGGAAACGGAGAAUAAUACCCUAUAAAGUCUAAUCAGCUCCUGCUGGAAAGACCAAAGAUUUAUCGGUGUAAGAUGGACUUGCGUCUGAUUAGCUAGUUGGUGAGAUAAAAGCUCACCAAGGCGACGAUCAGUAGCCGGCUUGAGAGAGUGUACGGCCACAUUGGGACUGAGACACGGCCCAAACUCCUACGGGAGGCAGCAGUGGGGAAUUUUGCACAAUGGGGGAAACCCUGAUGCAGCGACGCCGCGUGAUUGAGAAGGCCUUCGGGUUGUAAAAAUCUUUUUUACGGGAUGAAAAUGGCAGUACCGUAAGAAUAAGGUCCGGCUAAAUACGUG